rnacentral:lncRNA from 1 species
UGUAAAAUCUACCCGUACCCUGUUUCCUUCGCAAUGAGAAGAGUCCAUUUACUUCUAUGUAACUGUGCCGGGAAUUUCCAGACUGUAAUCCAUACUUCCUCUUAUGCUACCCCUGUGAACAAUGUUCGGAUCUUUAUGCAACCGACUGUACUUUGAUCAUCAAAAUUUUUCUCCUUAAUUCCUACCUUAUUGCAUUUCCGAGAUAAAAGGUGGUACGGCUGAUAUCUUCUCAUCUAAUAGAAUAUUUAGCCACUUGAUAAAAUUCCGAUAACAUGCUGAUAUUUGAGAAUUAAAUAGAAAAGUGGCCAUUUUAGACACCUAUUAUCUGAAACUGAUUGGUGUUAACAGCGCAUCACACUGAUACCAAACGAAUUUAUCCAAUUUUAUUUGGAGAAAAAUUUAAUAUGGAUUAGAUUCAAAAAUUUUAUUUUUUGGUUAUGUUAAUCUGCGUAAACGUAAUGGGAAUUAUAUGUAAUAUGAUGAAUUUUAUUAUUUGAAAUUAUGGAAAAAAAUGAUUAUUCUAUAUCAAAAUGUUCGGUCACUUAAGAGAAAAUCAUCGGAUCUCCAGAAAGUCUUGAACAAACGUUUCGAUGUUCUUUGUUUAUCAGAAACGUGGUUGGAAACACAUUCUACCAUUCAUAACGUUUUCGAUCGGUUUGGUUACGACCUGUUUUCUGCACCGAGAGAUUAUUGUAAAGGAGGAGGAGUACUUAUUGCCAAAAAAAGGACUUAAACGCUAAACGAAACUUUUCUAAAGAAGACUAUUUCAUAUCUGUUCAAAUAGAUAAGCAUAGUUUACUGUUAGUAUGCUGCUACGCACCCAAACGAUGGUGCCCUUACAUAUUCCCUUCUCUUCGUCGCUACUUAAAAAGAGUUAGGGGAUUAUUCGAAAAUUUAAUAAUCUGUGGAGACUUUAACACUUGCCACAUCGAAUGGUUUGGAUAUCUUCCUCAAUAUUCUUACCUUAAUCAGGCAGAAAAAUAUCUUUUGUACAAAAUUUACUAUUUCUUUGAAUUUAUUCAAAAGGUCGAUUUUCCCACGCGUCAAAGCAAUUUUCUCGAUCUAGUAUUUACUAAUUGUAAACGCCUGAAUACUUCGUCUUGUACCGCCUUUGCAUCCGAUCACAUGGCAAUAUUAAUCUCUAUCGACUUUAAAACUUACAUAUGCGAUACUUACCUACCCGUUACUAAUAAAAUUAAUCGGAAAAGAGGAGAUUUGGCCAGUAUAUUCCAUUCUGUAGUUAAUUUCGAUUGGUCGUUGUUUAUCAACAAUUUUUCAGCUCACAAGGGGUGCUUCCGAACCGGGUGGGGGCGAAAAUGAAC